AGCUUUAUCGGAUGCAUAGGGGACAGGGCCCACUAACCAUAUUACCAACGGCGAUACCGAUAUGUUGAUGCUAUUGUUGUUGCUGCUAUCAAAUUGAAUAACUACCCGCUCAGGGGUCUUGAACAUUGGUACUAUUACAUUCAUAUCAUUUCCCCAAUGACGGGACUGGAAAAUUUGGAAAAGACCCUCAUCCAUUAACCUUUGAAUAUCCCUCUUGACAAUAACACACCCCCGAGGGUUCACACUACAAAUCACACAACUGUCAUGGUC
rnacentral:lncRNA from 1 species